rnacentral:rRNA from 1 species
AGGGCGAUAGUCGCUGGGUGUAGACCCGAAACCAAGUGAUCUACUCAUGGCCAGGAUGAAGGUGCGGUAACACGCACUGGAGGUCCGAACCCACUAAUGUUGAAAAAUUAGGGGAUGAGCUGUGGGUAGGGGUGAAAGGCUAAACAAACUUGGAAAUAGCUGGUUCUCUCCGAAAACUAUUUAGGUAGUGCCUCAAGUAUCACCAUCGGGGGUAGAGCACUGUUAUGGCUAGGGGGUCAUCGCGACUUACCAAACCAUUGCAAACUCCGAAUACCGAUGAGUGCGAGCUUGGGAGACAGACGUCGGGUGCUAACGUCCGGCGUCAAGAGGGAAACAACCCAGACCGCCAGCUAAGGUCCCAAAGAUUGGCUAAGUGGAAAACGAAGUGGGAAGGCUAAAACAGUCAGGAUGUUGGCUUAGAAGCAGCCAUCAUUUAAAGAAAGCGUAAUAGCUCACUGAUCGAGUCGUCCUGCGCGGAAGAUGUAACGGGGCUAAGCCAGUCACCGAAGCUGCGGAUAUGCGUAAGCAUAUGGUAGGAGAGCGUUCUGUAAGCCUGCGAAGGUGUCUUGUAAAGGAUGCUGGAGGUAUCAGAAGUGCGAAUGCUGACAUGAGUAGCGAUAAUGGGGGUGAAAAGCCCCCACGCCGUAAGCCCAAGGUUUCCUGUUCAACGUUCAUCGGAGCAGGGUGAGUCGGCCCCUAAGGCGAGGCAGAGAUGCGUAGCUGAUGGGAAGCAGGUUAAUAUUCCUGCACCGUCGUAUGAUGCGAUGGGGGGACGGAUCGCGGAAGGUUGUCUGACUGUUGGAAUAGUCAGUUUCUGCUUCAUAG